CCUACGGGAGGCAGCAGUGAGGAAUAUUGGUCAAUGGACGAGAGUCUGAACCAGCCAAGUAGCGUGAAGGAUGACUGCCCUAUGGGUUGUAAACUUCUUUUAUAUGGGAAUAAAAUGUUCCACGUGUGGGAUUUUGUAUGUACCAUAUGAAUAAGGAUCGGCUAACUCCGUGCCAGCAGCCGCGGUAAUACGGAGGAUCCGAGCGUUAUCCGGAUUUAUUGGGUUUAAAGGGAGCGUAGGUGGAUUGUUAAGUCAGUUGUGAAAGUUUGCGGCUCAACCGUAAAAUUGCAGUUGAUACUGGCAGUCUAGAGUACAGUAGAGGUAGGCGGAAUGCGUGGUGUAGCGGUGAAAUGCAUAGAUAUCACGAAGAACGCCGAUUGCGAAGGCAGCUCACUGGACUGCAACUGACACUGAGGCUCGAAAGUGUGGGUAUCAAACAGGAUUAGAUACCCUGGUAGUC
rnacentral:rRNA from 1 species